rnacentral:rRNA from 1 species
CACGUAGGCGGUUUGGUUAGUCUGAUGUGAAAUCCCUCGACUCAAUCGAGGAAGUGCAUUGGAUACUGCCAGGCUAGAGUGCAGGAGGGGUGAGCGGAAUUCCUGGUGUAGAGGUGAAAUUCGUAGAUAUCAGGAGGAACAACGGUGGCGAAGGCGGCUCACUGGACUGUAACUGACGCUGAGGUGCGAAAGCGUGGGGAGCAAACA